rnacentral:rRNA from 1 species
CCUACGGGUGGCAGCAGUGAGGAAUAUUGGUCAAUGGACGAGAGUCUGAACCAGCCAAGUAGCGUGAAGGAUGACUGUCCUAUGGGUUGUAAACUUCUUUUAUAAAGGAAUAAAACGAGGCACGUGUGCCUUUUUGCAUGUACUUUAUGAAUAAGGAUCGGCUAACUCCGUGCCAGCAGCCGCGGUAAUACAGAGGAUCCGAGCGUUAUCCGGAUUUAUUGGGUUUAAAGGGAGCGUAGAUGGGUUGUUAAGUCAGGUGUGAAAGUUUGCGGCUCAACCGUAAAAUUGCAUUUGAUACUGGCAGGCUGGAGUACAGGUGAGGUAGGCGGAAUUCGUGGUGUAGCGGUGAAAUGCUUAGAUAUCACGAAGAACUCCGAUUGCGAAGGCAGCUUACUAGACUGCAACUGACGCUGAUGCGCGAAAGCGUGGGUAUCAAACAGGAUUAGAUACCCCGGUAGUC